AACUAACGCUGGCGGCGUGCCUAACACAUGCAAGUCGUACGAGAAAGUUGGCUUCGGCUGAUGAGUAAAGUGGCGCACGGGUGAGUAACGCGUGGAUAAUCUGCCUUUUAGUUGGGAAUAACGUACCGAAAGGUGCGCUAAUACCGGAUAAUACUGCAUAACUACUGUUGUGUAGUCAAAGAAGGCCUCUGUUUACAAGCUUUUGCUGAAAGAUGAGUCCGCGUACCAUUAGCUAGUUGGUAGGGUAAUGGCCUACCAAGGCUACGAUGGUUAGCUGGUCUGAGAGGAUGAUCAGCCACACUGGAACUGAGACACGGUCCAGACUCCUACGGGAGGCAGCAGUGAGGAAUAUUGCGCAAUGGGGGCAACCCUGACGCAGCAACGCCGCGUGAGUGAGGAAGGUUUUCGGACCGUAAAGCUCUGUCGAGCGGGAAGAAAUGUAUCGUGGCUAAUAUCCAUGAUAUUUGACGGUACCGCUAAAGGAAGCACCGGCUAA
rnacentral:rRNA from 1 species